CCGUCUCGCGCAUGCGCGUGUGCCGACCUUAAUAGCGGCGUCGGCUGUCACCGCAGCUACUUGGGCGCUCGGCUCCAGCGGGGCCGGCAGCGCGUCUCUUAGGCUGUUCGCGCGCUAGUCGCCGCUGAGGGGCUGGCGAUGCGCGAGGGGCUCCAGCUAGGAAGGUAGGCUUGAACCUUCACCUGGAGUCAUUCCCGUUAAGAUUUACCAGAAAAUGCCCAACAACAGGAAGCUUGCAGGACUACACUUUGCUCCCAAUGUUAAGGAAUGAAAACAGGAAAUGUUCUGUUAUCUGCCUGGCAGUGGAGCUUUGGAGUUAAUCUCCUGGCCAUGUCACUUACCAGCUUGGCAGCCUUGGACAGACUGAACUCUUUGAGCUCAGUUUCCUCAUCUGUAAAGCCAGGGUAUGUUAUGUACCUUUAUUCGGUGGUAGAGAUUCAAUGUGAACACUUAGGUAAAGCACACAGUAUGGGCUGAAUAAAUGGACUGUUACUGAGAUGCUAUCACUUGUUUUUAAGUUCCUUGGAGCUUUCUCCCCCUAAACACCUCAAAAGAUUUUCAUUAUUUUUUCUAAUGCUAAUAUUUUUCUAAUUCUUCCUUUAAAAUAUUUUACU